rnacentral:rRNA from 1 species
AUACGUAGGGGGCGAGCGUUGUCCGGAAUGAUUGGGCGUAAAGGGCGCGUAGGCGGCCCGGUAAGUCUGGAGUGAAAGUCCUGUUUUUAAGAUGGGAAUUGCUUUGGAUACUGUCGGGCUUGAGUGCAGGAGAGGUAAGUGGAAUUCCCAGUGUAGCGGUGAAAUGCGUAGAGAUUGGGAGGAACACCAGUGGCGAAGGCGACUUACUGGACUGUAACUGACGCUGAGGCGCGAAAGUGUGGGGAGCAAACAGGAUUAGAUACCCUGGUAGUCCACACUGUAAACGAUGAAUGCUAGGUGUAGUGGGUAUCGACCCCUUCUGUGCCGCAGUCAACACAAUAAGUAUUCCGCCUGGGGAGUACGGCCGCAAGGUUGAAACUCAAAGGAAUUGACGGGG